rnacentral:rRNA from 1 species
UGAGGAAUAUUGCGCAAUGGGCGAAAGCCUGACGCAGCAACGCCGCGUGGGCGAUGAAGGCCUUCGGGUUGUAAAGCCCUUUUCGGUGGAAAGACUCAGACGGUACCACCGGAAUAAGCCACGGCUAACUACGUGCCAGCAGCCGCGGUAAUACGUAGGUGGCCAGCGUUGCCCGGAUUUACUGGGCGUAAAGAGCGCGUAGGUGGUGCCUUAAGUUGGGCGUGAAAGCCCCUGGCUUAACUGGGGAGGGUCGUCCAAUACUGGGGUGCUUGAGGGCAGGGGAAGGAAGCGGAAUUCCCGGUGUAGUGGUGAAAUGCGUAGAUAUCGGGAAGAACACCAGUGGCGAAGGCGGCUUCCUAAACUGCUCCUGACGCUGAGGCGCAAAAGCUAGGGGAGCGAACGGGAUUAGAUACCCCGGUAGUCCUAGCUGUAAACGUUGGGCACUAGGUGUAGCGGGUAUCGACCCCCGCUGUGCCGCAGCUAACGCAAUAAGUGCCCCGCCUGGGGACUACGAGCGCAAGCUUA